GGAAUUUUGGACAAUGGGCGCAAGCCUGAUCCAGCAAUGCCGCGUGAGUGAAGAAGGCCUUCGGGUUGUAAAGCUCUUUUGUCAGGGAAGAAACGGAUUUUUCUAAUACAGAGAUCUAAUGACGGUACCUGAAGAAUAAGCACCGGCUAACUACGUGCCAGCAGCCGCGGUAAUACGUAGGGUGCAAGCGUUAAUCGGAAUUACUGGGCGUAAAGCGUGCGCAGGCGGUUUUGUAAGACUGUCGUGAAAUCCCCGGGCUCAACCUGGGAAUGGCGAUGGUGACUGCAAGGCUAGAGUUUGGCAGAGGGGGGUAGAAUUCCACGUGUAGCAGUGAAAUGCGUAGAUAUGUGGAGGAACACCGAUGGCGAAGGCAGCCCCCUGGGUCAAAACUGACGCUCAUGCACGAAAGCGUGGGGAGCAAACAGGAUUAGAUACCCGAG
rnacentral:rRNA from 1 species